rnacentral:rRNA from 1 species
UACGAAGGGGGCUAGCGUUGUUCGGAAUCACUGGGCGUAAAGGGUGCGUAGGCGGGUCUUUUAAGUCAGAGGUGAAAUCCUGGAGCUCAACUCCAGAACUGCCUUUGAUACUGAAGAUCUUGAGUUCGGGAGAGGUGAGUGGAACUGCGAGUGUAGAGGUGAAAUUCGUAGAUAUUCGCAAGAACACCAGUGGCGAAGGCGGCUCACUGGCCCGGUACUGACGCUGAGGUGCGAAAGCGUGGGGAGCAAACAGGG